rnacentral:rRNA from 1 species
UACUGCGAGUGAAGCGGCAAGAGCUCAGAUUUGAAAGCUGCUACCAAUGUGGUGGUCGCAUUGUAAUCUGUAGAGACGACUUCUGGUUGGUCGCGUGGUCAAAGUCCCUUGGAACAGGGCGCCGUAGAGGGUGAGAGUCCCGUUUGACCAUGUGUUCCUUCCUUGUGAAGCGUUUUCGACGAGUCGAGUUGUUUGGGAAUGCAGCUCAAAAUGGGUGGUAAAUUUCAUCUAAAGCUAAAUAUUGGCGAGAGACCGAUAGCGCACAAGUAGAGUGAUCGAAAGAUGAAAAGCACUUUGAAAAGAGAGUCAAAAAGUACGUGAAAUUGUUGAAAGGGAAACGCUUGAGACCAGACUCGGGCUUGAGUGAUCAUCCGUCCUUCUGGUCGGUGCACUUGCUCUUGCUCGGGCCAGCAUCGGUUGUGGCGGCGGGAUAAAGGUUCGAGGAAUGUGGCUCCCCUCGGGGAGUGUUAUAGCCUCGGACGUAAUGCCGCCAGCCGCGACCGAGGACCGCGCUUCGGCUAGGAUGCUGGCGUAAUGGUCUUCAGCGACCCGUCUUGAAACACGGACCAAGGAGUCUAACAUCUAUGCGAGUGUUCGGGUGCAAAACCCCUGCGCGUAAUGAAAGUGAACGGAGGUGGGAACCUUUACCGGUGCACCAUCGACCGAUCCUGAUGUCUUCGGAUGGAUUUGAGUAGGAGCAUAGCUGUUGGGACCCGAAAGAUGGUGAACUAUGCCUGAAUAGGGUGAAGCCAGAGGAAACUCUGGUGGAGGCUCGCAGCGGUUCUGACGUGCAAAUCGAUCGUCAAAUUUGGGUAUAGGGG